GCCGCGGUAGCUCAGUGGUAGAGCGAGCGACUGAAAAUCGUUAGGUUGUGAGUCCGAUUCUCACCCGCGGCA
rnacentral:tRNA from 1 species